rnacentral:tRNA from 1 species
GGCAGACCGCUACGGACGACGGCUGGGCUCAUAACCCAGAGGUCGUAGGUUCAAAUCCUACCCCCGCUA